UAGCUAUUUAUGACUUUAACAAUAUUUAUAUAGAUGAUAAAAUAAAAACAGUAUGUAUAAAUAUAAUAAAAGUAUUAUUAAAUAGUAAGAUAAACUAUAUGAAUUGUAUACCAAGGGCAUACUUUUUUUCAUUACCUUUGAGUUUUGUACACCUUCGUUCAUUUUAUUUAAAAAAAAAUAUUUUUUUAUUUACCAAAGAUAUUAACGCAACUGACGCAACUGACGCAACUGACGCAACCGACGCAACCGCUACUACCCCCACCACUAUCUCUACAAAUUUAUACAGUGCUAGGAUAUUACAAAAAAUAAAAAAAAACAUAUUCGACUUGUACAUAAACACGCUUUAUUUAUAUAUCAUAGCAGCAAAUAUACAUAAAGUUGAAAAUUUUACAAUGUUAACAGAAAAAACGUUUUUUAUUCUUUUAUUAAAUAGUUUACUAUUUUUUGAAUUGGCUAGCUUAAAAAAAACAAACAUGGAUGCAUUUAACUUAAUUGGUAAGUAUUUAUUUAUAAAGGAAGAGGAAAAUGAUAAUAAUCGUUUUUUGAUGUCUUUUAUACAUACGUCAGGUGAAAGUUACGAAAAAAACAUUUUGAACGAAUUUGAAAACUUGUAUGAUAUUCAGAUGGAAUAUAAAGACGACCAUGAUGUAUGUUCGGAUAGUGAAACAUUAAGCAUUGUUUCCUUUGACAAUUCACAGUCUACUGGUAUGUACGUUACUUGUACAGAUAAUAUAAAAACGAGUGAUGCAAGUUAUGACUUUUAUUAUAAUAUCCCCAAAAAAGAAAAAGGUUCCGAAAGAAAUAAACAAACGACAAAAUCGAAUGGUAACAAUCGUAUCAGCAGAAGUAGCAGUAGUAGCAAAAGUAGCAAAAGUAGCAAAAGUAGCAAAAGUAGCAAAAGUAGCAGAAGUAGCAGUAGUAAAAGUAGCAAUUCUGGUAGUCACAAAUCUUACCAAGACAAAUUAAAAAUCGAAUCUACAGAUUUUAUUACAUUAAAGUUACUAAAAGAAAGUAACAACAAUUGUACAGAAUUAUUACAGUUAUUAAAAAAAAAAUCGAAAAACGUAUUUUUAAUGUUAAUUUUAAAUAAUACUAUAUUAGACUUAUAUAAUUUUUUGCUAAAUAUGGAUUAUCUGAACAUUCUGUUAUAUAUCAUUAAUUUUUUUUUAUCUUUUGAGUAUUUUGAAUUUAGCAAUAACAGUAACUACAUUGGUAAUGGUAACAAAAUUACUAGUAACAAUAUAAGUGGUAAUAAUAGUGGCAACAUUAGCAACAGUAAUAUCACAAGCAGUAAUCGCAACAACUAUAAGAACGACAAUAACCACGGCGCUAAGGUAUUGGAAGACUUACUUAAUUUUAUAAAACAAAAUGAAUUAUGCUUAAAUAAUUUAUUUGAUUAUUUUGACAUUUUUAAUAAGUUUAUAGAAGAGUAUGUUGCAACUAAUAUUGCUGUUGAUGUUAAUAUCGGCACUAAUAAUAUCAAACAUACUCAUUUGUUGCAAUACAAAUACAAAUUAUACAUUUUCAUUCUAUCUUUAUAUUUAGCACUAGUUUUAUUAAAAACAUACCCAACUGAAUGUGUUAAAAUAAUUAAUCAAAAUAAACUUAAUAGUAUAAAAGAAUAUAAUAAAUUUAUUUUAUCCAACUUAAUUAUAGAACAUCAAAUUAAUGAAUUAACAAUCAUUUCAGAAAAAAAUGUUAAUACAAAAUUU
rnacentral:lncRNA from 1 species